AAUCAACGCUGGCGGCGUGCCUAACACAUGCAAGUCGAACGCGAAAGCCCCUUCGGGGGUAAGUAGAGUGGCGUCCGGGUGAGUAACACGUAGGUAAUUUGCCUUCGGGUGGGGAAGUAACCAGUCGAAAGAUUGGCUAAUACCGCAUAAUGCAGCGGCACCUAAUGGUGAUUAGUUGUUAAAGCGGGGGAUCGUAAGACCUCGCGCCUGAAGAGGAGCCUGCGGCAGAUUAGCUAGUUGGUGAGGUAAUGGCUCACCAAGGCUUCGAUCUGUAGCUGGUCUGAGAGGACGGCCAGCCACACUGGCACUGACACACGGGCCAGACUCCUACGGGAGGCAGCAGUGGGGAAUUUUGGGCAAUGGGCGAAAGCCUGACCCGA
rnacentral:rRNA from 1 species